rnacentral:rRNA from 1 species
UACGAAGGGGGCUAGCGUUGUUCGGAAUUACUGGGCGUAAAGCGCGCGCAGGCGGCUAUCCAAGUCAGUGGUGAAAGCCCGGAGCUCAACUCCGGAACUGCCAUUGAAACUGUUUAGCUUGAGGACGAGAGAGGUGAGUGGAAUUCCCAGUGUAGAGGUGAAAUUCGUAGAUAUUGGGAAGAACACCAGUGGCGAAGGCGGCUCACUGGCCCGGUACUGACGCUGAGGCGCGAAAGCGUGGGGAGCAAACAGG